CCCAGGCGCACCUCUCUGUUUUUUUGAACAGAAUCACGCAGAUGGCCUAUCUUGGGAGCCAAAGUCGGGUACAGAUGAUGCCCCUCAAGGGUAAACUGUCUUCUGACUCCUAUCACCAAUGGAAUUCUACACCCAGUGUGGGACUCAAACUCAAAACUCGAGAUCAAGAGUCACUCGCUCUACUGACUGAACCAGCCAGGUACCCCUCGAGUACCUCUUUCUAUGUUUAUGGGACACUUUGUUACCCUCUUUUAUGAAAUGUCCGUUCAAAAAUUUCACCUGUUCUUUAGAUUGGUUUAUCUUCUCAGUGAUUGAUGGCAGUUCUUCAUAUAUUUUUGAGGUUAAUACUCUAGCCAAAGACCAUAAGGAACACACAUAAUUGAACAAUUUGGGUGUGUUACUCAUUGCAGCAAGGGAGAACACAAACCAUAAAGAACCAUGGGCUAUUUCAGUAGGAAACUUACUGAAUGAAUUAUUUUGGCUUGUGUUAAGUGAUUUGGGAGAGGGUUUUUAAAAAGUGGGGCUUUGUUCUGGAUUGGAUGCUAUCGGGAAGUGGGGGAAAUUCUAUGAUUGAGCGUCUUAAUA